CUUCCCUACGGGGGGCAGCAGUGGGGGAUAUUGCACAAUGGGGGGAACCCUGAUGCAGCGACGCCGCGUGGGUGAAGGAGCGUUUCGGCGCGUAAAGCCCUAUCGGCAGGGAAGAAGAUGACGGUACCUGACCAAGAAGCCCCGGCUAACUACGUGCCAGCAGCCGCGGUAAUACGGAGGAUGCGAGCGUUAUCCGGAUUUAUUGGGUUUAAAGGGUGCGCAGGCGGACCAUCAAGUCAGCGGUAAAAUCGUGGGGCCCAACCCCAUCCCGCCGU
rnacentral:rRNA from 1 species